UGAACCUCAUAGUGAAAUAGUGACCUCAAUAUCUGGCUCUAGCACCAAGGGAUGAAAAUGGAAAAAGAAGAAUAAAGAGAAAUGCUUCAAAGGAGAUUGUUCCAGGACUACCAGUAGUUCUCUACUAGGUUUACAAGAACUGAUCCAGCAAUGGAAUACAAAUGCACUAGUGAUCCCAGCCAAGAUACCAGAACCUGACCAAGUUUUGGCAAUUAUAAAUGAAGCUGUUAUAAACAUCUGGGUGAAUAGUGUUUCAUUUUUAAUCUGCCUUUGGAGAUUACUAUGUGAGGCCCUG
rnacentral:lncRNA from 1 species